GGCUGUAGCUCAGUGGUAGAGUGCCCGCCUUGCACUUGUGAAGCACUGGGUUUGAUCCUCAGCACCA
rnacentral:tRNA from 1 species